AGAAGCGUGGCGCAGUGGAAGCGCGGUGGGCUCAUAACUCAGAGGUCGGUGGAUCGAAACCACUCGUUGCUA
rnacentral:tRNA from 1 species